GACGAACCGUGCGAACGUUGUUCGGAUUCACUGGGCUUAAAGGGCGCGUAGGCGGCUCGCCAAGUCAGGGGUGAAAUCUCCCGCCUCAACCGGGAAACGAGCUUCUGAUACUGGCGGGCUGGAGGGAGGUAGGGGCGGAUGGAACUUCCGGUGGAGCGGUGAAAUGCGUAGAUAUCGGAAGGAACGCCGGUGGCGAAAGCGAUCCGCUGGACCUCUUCUGACGCUGAGGCGCGAAAAGCCAGGGGGAGCAAACAGG
rnacentral:rRNA from 1 species